CGUUCCCGGGCCUUGUACACACCGCCCGUCACACCGUGGGAGUUGGUUUUACCCGAAGCCGGUGCGCGAACCGCAAGGACGCAGCCGACCACGGUAAGGUCAGCGACUGGGGUG
rnacentral:rRNA from 1 species